AGGAGAUCAAAUAAGCAGUAGCAGCGCCUCACCUUACCAUAUCCCCUCCAGCUGCAAGAUAAUAAUACUCCAUGGAAACCUUCCUCACCCCACACCCUGCCCACUGCAGUAUUGGUUAACAGAUCUCCUUGGACUAUAUAAUAGAACUCAGUCCAUUUAAGGACCACUCUGCAUUGGGAAGAGCGUAUUAGCAAUUGCAUACAAGCUAAUAUAAUCCAAUAUAAACCCCUUGCACAACUCCCAGAAUUCCUGAGCCAGCCGGGUUCAAUCCAGACUUUUCCAAAUUCUUCAAAAACCAUUUUAAUGAAGGAUUUUUAUAUUUCCUGUAUGCUUCCAGCUGGAACAUCUAAUCAGCUAAUCCUAUGAACAGGUUUGCACGAAUAGAGCUGCAUUCCCAUAGGUUUGUCUGCUCUGUUUUUGGCACUGGAUUUCUUAAG